rnacentral:rRNA from 1 species
AUUGAACGCUGGCGGCAGGCUUAACACAUGCAAGUCGAGCGGGGUGAUGGUGCUUGCACUAUCACUCAGCGGCGGACGGGUGAGUAAUGCUUAGGAAUCUGCCUAUUAGUGGGGGACAACAUCUCGAAAGGGAUGCUAAUACCGCAUACGUCCUACGGGAGAAAGCAGGGGAUCACUUGUGACCUUGCGCUAAUAGAUGAGCCUAAGUCGGAUUAGCUAGUUGGUGGGGUAAAGGCCUACGAAGGCGACGAUCUGUAGCGGGUCUGAGAGGGCGAUCCGCCACACUGGGACUGAGUCACGGCCCAGACGCGUGCGGGAGGCAGCAGUGGGGAAUAUUGGACAAUGGGGGGAACCCUGAUCCAGCCAUGCCGCGUGUGUGAAGAAGGCCUUAUGGUUGUAAAGCACUUUAAGCGAGGAGGAGGCUCUUUUGGUUAAUACCCAAGAUGAGUGGACGUUACUCGCAGAAUAAGCACCGGCUAACUCUGUGCCAGCCGCCGCUGUAA